UUGUUCAUUUUUGGGAUAUACAAAAGUGAUAUUCCAACUCGUCAGGUAUAGGAAAGACCAUGGCAGAAAAAAAAUGGUUAAACAGUAGUCUUCAAAACACUACAUAUUUUAAAAUUUUCUUCAUUUGUAAUUUUCAUAGCAUCCUUUGUAUUUUCAUAUAUUUUCCAAUGCCCCCUUCAGAAAUUUGUAUUUGCAGGAUUCUAGUCUAACUAUUUACUUUCUGGGCAAGUGCUGAAAGAAUUAAUAAUGAGAAAAUUCUGAUGACAAUACAAUAAAAAAAUAUUUUCAUAACCAUAUUGUGUUUAAAUGUGAUUUACAUUUCAGCACUUGUAAAAUCAAUCCAUAUGAAAGAAAAUAUCCCAAAUGCUAUUCUUGGUAGGACAUUGUGUGAAAAUAAAUGAAUAGAUGCAAUCAAACAUUUAUUAAAAAUAACAACUUGUACAUUUAUAUGACAAAAUAUGUAUUAUAUUAAAGUGUUAAUUCAGACAAUUUGCUUAAACUGUAUCAAUAUGAAUGAAGGUUGUAUAUAUGCUAUUGUUAAAGAGAAAAUCAUUAUCAAAGAGGUGUACAUCAAAAUAGAAAACUGUUUUGUUGUAUUGCAACGUUAUUGAAUUAGAAAUUCAUAUUAAAAAAAAUACAUUUGUAUGCUUAAUUGUUUUAGAGUUGCUCAACCAAUCAACGAAAAAUCAAAAUAUGUAUAAAAAUAA